CCUACGGGUGGCUGCAGUGGGGGAUAUUGCACAAUGGGGGAAACCCUGAUGUAGCGACGCCGCGUGGGCGAAGAAGUAUUUCGGUAUGUAAAGCUCUAUCAGCAGGGAAGAAGAAAUGACGGUACCUGACUAAGAAGCACCGGCUAAAUACGUGCCAGCAGCCGCGGUAAUGCGUAGGGUGCAAGCGUUAUCCGGAUUUACUGGGUGUAAAGGGAGCGCAGGCGGCGCGUUAAGCCUGGUGUGAAAGCCCGCGGCCGAACCGGGGGACUGCAUUGGGAACUGGCGCGCUGGAGUGCCGGAGGGGUAGGCGGAAUUCCUAGUGUAGCGGUGAAAUGCGUAGAUAUUAGGAGGAACACCAGUGGCGAAGGCGGCCUACUGGACGGUGACUGACGCUGAGGCUCGAAAGCGUGGGGAGCAAACAGGAUUAGAUACCCGGGUAGUC
rnacentral:rRNA from 1 species